UCCUUGGCAUGCCUCGGUCCUUCAUCUAGGAGUUCUGUGCCUUGGCCAUGCGAUGCCAUCCCUUGCCCCACAUGCCGGCCUUGGUAUGCCUUGGUCCGUCCAUGGAGGAAGGCACGUCCGUGGCGCGUUGAAGCAGUGGUCGAAGGGAAUGCGCGUUCUUCAGCGUUGUAUGGCUCAACGUGUGGUUUCUCGUCUGUGGGGUCCCCUAUGACUACUUGGUCCAGGCAAAUGUACUCUUGCAACAGGUUUGAGAGGCUGUUUACCAAACAAGGCGUCAUCACAAGGAAAAGGCCUGCAAAGGAUUAUGGCACCAAAAAAAGGAAAAAUGCCCAUUUGAAAAAGCACGUGGCUGCACGAGAGGCACAAGCAGAGGGUUUUCUGAAUACAAAAAACAUCACAAGUGCCAGCACUGUGUCUCGGCAACAUUGACAGACGCUUUGGUGUGCAUAUCUGGGUCCCACCUCAAAAGCUGAUGUCAAUCAAGGACUUCACUUGGCAAGGAGGCACCACUGUUGACAAUGGGACUAGCUAUGAGCUUCCCAUCUGGCCUUUUACAUGCCUGACGAAUGAACGGCAGGAGUUCGUAAACCAUGUGGCCCCCGGCUGCAUCGGAUGUCCAUGGUGUACAAGCUUUGAGCACCCCUCCGAGCAGGUGCUGUUUCGUUAGAUAUACAAACACGAGUUUUCCUGGAAAAGACAAUAAAUGUGAUCACAAAAAAAAAGGAUUUAACAGACAAGUAAUUGCACACACACAUAAGAACCAGCAAGCUAGGCACAGCAGAGACUUGGAAGCAAUAGUGUUUUUAGAGAAUGGUGACUUUUUCAGUGACAUUGCCAAUUUAGCCUGCUUCAGCAAGUUGUCUGAAUAAACUUGUUGAAGCAAAUAGCCCGCUGUUUAGU